GAUGAACGCUGACAGAAUGCUUAACACAUGCAAGUCAACUGUGGCGGACGGGUGAGUAACGCGUAAAGAACUUGCCUCACAGUUAGGGACACCCUUUGGAAACGAAUGCUAAUACCUGAAACUGGGAGAGAGCUUUGCGUCCCAUUAGCUAGUGGGAGAGGUAACGGCUCACCAAGGCGAGGAUGGGUAGCCGGCCUGAGAGGGAGAUAGGCCACAAGGGGACUGAGACACGGCCCUUACUCCUACGGGUGGCAGCAGUGGGGAAUAGUGGACAAUGGACCAAAGUCUGAUCCAGCAAUUCUGUGUUCACGAUGAAGUUUUCGGAAUGUAAAGUGCUUUCAGUUGGGAAGCGGUACCCACAGAAGAAGUGACGGCUAAAUACGUGCCAGCAGCCGCGGUAAUAC
rnacentral:rRNA from 1 species